AUAGAUCAUACACACAUAUAUGAUUUAGAAUCUUGUCUGGGCAGGCUCUGCCCCAUUUCGAUGGCUCUACCCCAGCUGUGGUGUUGAGUUGCUGUCAUGAUUGGCACCUGUCUUUGUGUAUUAUAACUCACAUAGCUGAUAGCUGGGAGGCUUGGUGCAGGCAGGCAGCCACUUAAUGGAUUUGAUUUGUUUUGUUUUGUGACCUAGUUUUUCUUUAGGGGUUGUUAGUUCAAUUUUCUAGAUACAGUGUGUAUUGUUUGACAGUGUUUCAGGGUAAAUCCCGACUCUUCUUAUCCCAUUUCCUGCCUUGCCAAUCCUAUCUGCUGUGGCCAUCUCACUUGAUUUGAUUUCUUUGUGUAGUUCAAAAUGGAUUUUUCUUUAAAUUAUUACUAUUAUUAUUAAACAGUCACAGUCAUAGUUUGUUUUUUCUGACCCUGGGGAUCAAAUAGAGAGCUUUGGGCAGAUGAGGCCAGCCCUGUACUGAGCUACAACCCAGACCUGAACCCAAGUUUUUCUUUUGACCUUGAGACAGCCUCUUGCUAUAUGACCCAGGCUGCCUUGAACUCAUAGUCUCUGUUGGCUUUUUGAGGGCAGGGAUUUCAGGAGUGCACCUCCAAGGCAAUUUUGUUGUAGCUUUCAGAACUGAUAUUUAAACCCAGCUUAGCGCUCUCCGAUGCGCUACGUCUGAGUCCCAAGCCUGAUUGUCUGCAGGUGAGGAAGGCAGUGAUUUUUGUUGACUCUGUCUCUGGAGCCUGGGUUGGACUGGAAGUCCCUGCGUAGCUCAGGCUACCUCUUAGCUAUGGUCCAGCUCAGCCUCCUGAGUGUUGGGAUCACAGGUGUCAGCCUUUGGGCCCGGCUUUACCAGUGACUUUGAUGAGUCCUUUCAUUUGAAGCCAUGACUUGAGGUUGCCCUGGCACUGUGAGGUGGCUUUGUGAGGUUGCCCCGGCACUGUGAGGUGGCUUUGCUCCCCAAC
rnacentral:lncRNA from 1 species